CUAGAGAAAGAGGACUUUCCCCCUCCUUAAUGAC
rnacentral:tRNA from 1 species